rnacentral:lncRNA from 1 species
AUGUUUGAAACCGUGUUUUUUUUUAAUUUAAGCAUAUCCGUUGAGAUAUCUAUUACUAGUUUUAAAAGUGUAUGUGGGAGGAUGUCAGUGGACAGUAAGAGUGAAGUGAUUCUUGAUGAAAAGUUAUUUGGGGAUCAUUUUAAAAAGAAGUUUCUAAAGUUUUUUAUUUUAAAUCUCCUGGUGCCAUUGCUUAGAAGUGCUUUGAAUUACUUAUUUAAUUUUGUCAUAGUAAUCUGGAAUUUUCCCCAACUGGAAUGUCAACCAAGGUGGUUAGUUAGGCUUAAACUGGGAGCGGUAGGUUUGGUUGUAAGCUGUGAGAAUGGCUUGUGUUUGGUUCACUGUAGCUUUCUGGUCUCUGCACUCCAAGGCAAGAUCUCUAACCACCCAAACCCAAUGUAUAAAGUGAACUGUUGGUUUAGCCUUGCCUCUUACCUUGAUUAUGUGUUCCUGUUACAGGGAGAACAGAUCCCAUUCCGAUUGUCGUCAAGUAUGAUGUCAUGGGCAUGGGUCGCAUGGAAAUGGAGCUUGAUUAUGCCGAAGAUGCUACCGAACGGCGCCGUGUCCUAGAAGUAGAAAAAGAAGACACAGAAGAAUUGAGACAGAAGUACAAGGAUUAUGUUGAUAAAGAGAAGGCAAUUGCCAAAGCAUUGGAAGACCUCAGAGCCAACUUUUACUGUGAACUCUGUGAUAAGCAGUAUCAGAAACAUCAGGAAUUUGACAACCAUAUCAACUCCUAUGAUCACGCACACAAGCAGGUGAGGAAUUGCUUGCUAACAAAAAAAAG